rnacentral:rRNA from 1 species
GCUAUACAUGCAAUAGAGUUCCGACCAGUGAUGGAAGGAAUGCUUUUAUUAGAUUCAAAACCAAUCGGUAGCGGGCUUGCCUUGCCGCCGUUUGACUUGAUGACUCUGAAUAACUUAGUGCUGAUCGCACGGUCUCGUACCGGCGACGCAUCUUUCAAAUGUCUGCCUUAUCAACUGUCGAUGGUAGUUUCUGCGACUACCAUGGUUGUUACGGGUAACGGGGAAUCAGGGUUCGAUUCCGGAGAGGGAGCCUGAGAAACGGCUACCACAUCCAAGGAAGGCAGCAGGCGCGCAAAUUACCCACUCCCGGCACGGGGAGGUAGUGACGAAAAAUAACGAUACGGGACUCAUCCGAGGCCCCGUAAUCGGAAUGAGUACACUUUAAAUCCUUUAACGAGGAUCUAUUAGAGGGCCAGUCUGGUGCCAGCAGCCGCGGUAAUUCCAGCUCUAAUAGCGUAUAUUAAAGUUGUUGCGGUUAAAAAGCUCGUAGUUGAAUCUGUGUCCCGCACUGUCGGUUCACCGCUCGCGGUGUUCAACUGGCAUGUCUGUGGGACGUCCUGCCGGUGGGUUUAGCCCGUCAAAAGGCGACCCAACUAAAAUCCUACCACGGUGCUCUUUACCGAGUGUCGAGGUGGGCCGGCACGUUUACUUUGAACAAAUUAGAGUGCUUAAAGCAGGCUCAUUCGCCUGAAUAUUGUGUGCAUGGAAUAAUGGAAUAGGACCUCGGUUCUAUUUUGUUGGUUUUCGGAAUGCCGAGGUAAUGAUUAAUAGGGACAACUGGGGGCAUUCGUAUUGCGACGUUAGAGGUGAAAUUCUUGGAUCGUCGCAAGACGAACAGAAGCGAAAGCAUUUGCCAAAUGUGUUUUCAUCAAUCAAGAACGAAAGUUAGAGGUUCGAAGGCGAUCAGAUACCGCCCUAGUUCUAACCAUAAACGAUGCCAGCUAGCGAUCCGCCGAAGUUCCUCCGAUGACUCGGCGGGCAGCUUCCGGGAAACCAAAGCAUUUGGGUUCCGGGGGAAGUAUGGUUGCAAAGCUGAAACUUAAAGGAAUUGACGGAAGGGCACCACCAGGAGUGGAGCCUGCGGCUUAAUUGACUCAACACGGAAACCUCACC